rnacentral:lncRNA from 1 species
CUCGGCAGGAUGUCGCAUCCUGGGCCUACAUAGUUUGUCAGAAACAAACAUCAGAGUCAACGUAGUUUGGGGAAUGGGGAACAUGCUCGCUAGGACAUCGCAUCCUAUGCUUACGUAUCUUUUCUAUCCAAAGUAAGAAUCAGAGCACUCGUAGCUCGGCUAACGCACGCCGAAACAAAACACCAAAAAGAGACGCUGAGACGUCAAAAGAAACCCUCAAAAAGGAAACAGAA